ACAACAGCUAUAAUUCACUUGAUCUUGACACAAUCCUACUUGGAUAACUGUGGUAAUUCUAGAGCUAAUACAUGCAUUAAAGCUCUGACCUCACGGAAAGAGUGCAUUUAUUAGAACAAAACCAAGCGGCUUCGGCUGUUUUCGGUCGGCCCACAGUAACUGAGCUGAUCGCAUGGUCUUGCACCGGCGACGUGUCUUUCAAGUAUCUGCCGUAUCAACUUUCGAUGGUAGUGUAUCUGACUACCAUGGUGAUCACGCGUAACGGAGAAUAAGGGUUCGACUCCGGAGAGUUCGCCUGAGAAAUCGCGAACACAUCUAAGGAAGGCAGCAGGCGCGAAAAUUACCCACUCUCAGCACGAGGAGGUAGUGACGAAAAAUAACGAGACCGUUCUCUUUCGAGGCCGGUCAUCGGAAUGGGUACAAUUUAAACCCUUUAACGAGUAUCUAUGAGAGGGCAAGUCUGGUGCCAGCAGCCGCGGUAAUUCCAGCU
rnacentral:rRNA from 1 species